AUUGAACGCUGGCGGCAGGCCUAACACAUGCAAGUCGAGCGGAGCGGCGGACGGGCGAGUAAUGCCUAGGACUCUGCCCGGUAGUGGGGGAUAACGUCCGGCAACGGGCGCUAAUACCGCAUCCUAUCAGAUGAGUCUAGGUCGGAUUAGCUAGUUGGUGGGGUGAAGGCCUGGCAAGGCGACGAUCCGUAACUGGUCUGAGAGGAUGGUCAGUCACACUGGAACUAGUGCACUGUCCAGACUCCUCCGGGACGCAGCAGUGGGGAAUGUUGGGCAAUGGGCGAAAGCCUGAUCCAGCCGUGGCACGUGUGUUGCGAAGGUCUUCAGGUUGUAAAGCUCUUUAAGUUGGGAGGCGUUACCAGCAGAAUAAGCACCGGCUAACUACGUGCCAGCAGCCGCGGUAAUUC
rnacentral:rRNA from 1 species